rnacentral:rRNA from 1 species
UAGUCAUAUGCUUGUCUCAAAGAUUAAGCCAUGCAUGUCUAAGUAUAAACAACUUUAUACUGUGAAACUGCGUACAGCUCAUUAUAUCAGUUAUAAUUUAUUUGAUGGUGAUUUACUACAUGGAUAACCGUGGUAAUUCUAGAGCUAAUACAUGCGUAAACUCCCGACUUACGAAGGGACGUAUUUAUUAGAUACAACCGACCUCCUUCGGGAGCCUUUUGUCGACUCAUAGUAACUUUUCGAAUCGCCAGCUUCGGCCAGCGAUAGUUCAUUCAAA